AACAUCCUUCAAAGACUCGCAGUCUGAGCCUCAUGGUGUGACUGAAUAUACUGCCGAGUUCUACUGGAAGACCGUUUGUAAACCCAAGUGCAUUAACAUAACUGAUUCAGGACAAAGACGAAACAAUCCUCACCCGAGCCAGGCUUUCAUGUUGUGGACUCAACCCAGGGAUGCUCAACAGAAUUCCAAGCAUGUAGCUGUACCUUUUGAAACUCCCCCAUCAGAGGAGAAGAUUCUUGAGGCAAUAAAGGCACAACACUGCUCCAUCUACAAACGUGACUUCACCGUAAUACAUCCACGUAAAACCUGUUUUGAUACUUUAUAGUAAUCUUUUGCGAAAUAUUAAUUCAGAAAAUUAAAAGUUAAACUCUAAGUUUAUUUUUUUAUAUUUUAUUUUGACAGGAUGUGAUGGCAUUAAUAUGGCAGGUGGACAGCUUGUUCCUAUGCAAAACAGGGCUGGAAGCCAGGGCACCCAUCUCAACUAAUGCGCAAAGGCUAGUACUUUUAACAAGCCAAAUCAAAAAGCAGAGCUGCUUGCAAAUUUAUUCCACAGCUGUAACAGAAAUCCACAUGGGGGCUGCUGGGAUAAAGUCAGCUUUCAGAUCAGUGAAGAUGAUCAGAAACACUAUUGCCAUUGCUAUACGUGAGCCAUGAUCCAAGUGUGUUGGUGUUCCUACAAUUACACUCACUGUGAUUAUAUGUUUGGGGGGAAAAAAAUCUGCAUUGCAACAGUUGUUUUGGGUUAAAUCUAUUUUAGGAAAGUCAGAAUUUAGUAUUUUUAUUUGAAAAAAUGCUACUUUUCAACACACAAAUAACCCUCUUUUAUAUUAUUAUGCUCAGAAAUACAUUUUAUGUGAUAUUUGUCCAAAUAAAAAAGAAAAAAA